CCCCUGCAGCCCAGCUCCUGGAGAGGCCUCCACGCGCCCAGCCACGCCCUCUCACAUGGGGUUGGCGGGGCGGAAUCGGAGACUCUGGAUCUGGAAGGCCAGGCCCGUGGGAGCCCAGUGCCUGAGUGUCUGCAGAAAGGAUCCGGCUCCAGGGUCCCGGCUGGAGCUCCGCCCCGUGUAGGGGAGGCGCUGAGCCCAGAUCCUCUCCCCAGCUGUGGCCAGGCUGCCUCUCUCUCCAUCCUGUCCCCUUGGCUUCCCCCUGGGACCAGCAGGGGACCUCGGGCCAAGCGGUACCCCCCCCCCCAGAGGAAUCCUUUUUCGGGCCCCAGGUUCCAGCAAUGGCAGAACAGGGGUACAGCUGGUCAAAGUGUCCCUGGAGAAGCAAAUAACCCUGCCCACCCCUCCAGGCGCCCUGCCAAUCUGUCCUGUGGUUGCCCAACUGGUACUGACCGUAGGCCUCAGGGUCACAACCCGCAGGAGAAGGCGGGACGGAGGGACACUGGCCAGGUCUCCCCUCAUUUUGCUGCACAGGCCUCCUGCACGUCCUGUUCCAGUUUGCAAGUGUUAUUCUUAGCCAAGGACAAGAGAAAGCUGGGUCUCCUCCAAGGACACUUUGACAGGAGUAGAGGAGACCUUGCUGCGCUGCGGACCGCGGGCGCCACCGUGUGUUCAUCCUGGAGCGGUGCGGAAAGAGGAUGCGGCCCAGACCCCACAGUGCAAAGAAAGAUCGUCACAGCCACUCACAGGGACCCACCGUCCAGCAGUCGCUCCACACACAUCCUUCCUCCUGCUCAGAGCCGCGGUACAAGGGAGUUAAUGCAUCAUUUUUCAGAAGAAGAGACUGAAGUUCAGAGAGGCUGCGACCUGCCACUCUGAGACAGCCUGCAGCUGCUACGUGACACCCUGCCCACACGGGACUAACCACAGGCGAAAAUCAGGUGGUGCUUGGGGGUGGGCAUGAGUCUGCAGACGAGGGUGACCUCGACUUCUCAGGGUCGUGUGGAAGGUGAAGGGGUGCAGGGGAGCCGUGAGGUGGCCCCUUCUGGUUUCCUGGCCCUGGGAGCCUCUCUGGGUCUGACAUUUUCCAAACUCCAGGCUUUUUCUCCCAUAUUCUCCCUGCAUGAUCUGUGCACACGUGUGUACACAUGCAUGUGUGCAAGUACCGUGUAGAUACACACGUGUAUAUCCUGUGUUCCUCCUCCACAAACUCUUCCAAAGCAAAUGCUGGCAACGCUGGCAUUCAACAUCCAGGUCUGUACUUUCAUUUAUUCCACAGAAUUACAUUUAAUAUUUUUUCCUUUGCUUUUGCUUUUUCUGGGGGGUCCUGGGGAUUGAACUUAGGACCUUGCACUUGGGAGGCAGGCAUGGUGCCACUGAACUAAAUGCUCAGCUCUGCUUUUUUGUUUUUUUUGGUACCAGAGAUUGAACUCAGGACCUUGGACUUGCAAGGCAGAUGGUGGCACCACUGAGCUAAAUCCUCGGCCCCCUGCUUUGUUUUUUGAGACAGGGUCUCAUUACGUAGUUCACCUGGCAACAUUUACUUUCUGUUUGGGGUCCUAUGAGUCUGCUGGGGGUGCUAAGACAAAGCGCCACAGACUGAGGGGGCAGAAGCAGCAGAAUUUAUUCUCUCUAACUUCUGGGGCAGGAAGCCCGGGAUGGAGGUGAGGCCGGCUGCUGCAUCUCAGGCCUUUCUCUCGCUAGACUGGCAGAGGCAGAUGCCUCCUCCGCCUGUCUCCACAGCAUUUUCUGCUGAGCAGGUCCUAGAACAGAUUUUCUCUUCUAAGGACGCAGGGCCUCCAUCAUAACCUCAUUCUAACUCAACAGCCUCUGUGGAACUGCUGUUGCCAAACACGAUCGCACUCUGAGGUACUGGGGUGUUGGAACUUCGAGAUGUGAAUCGGCGGGGGGAGACACAAUUCAGCUCAUAACCAAGGAAUAAGGACACAGUGUUGAUGGAGCUCUUAUAUAUCUGGCCAGGCACAGUGGCAUGCACCUGUCUCCCCAGCCUCUCAGGAGGCUGAAGCUGGAAGAUCACUAGAGCCCAGGAAUUCACAGCCGGUGCCUGGGUAACGUAGUGAGAGAUCCUAUCUGAAAAAAACAGAACAAAACAAAAAAUUAGGAAUGCAGCUUAGUGGUAGAGCACUUGCCUGACAUGGGAGAAGCCCUGAGUUCUAUCCCCUGCAAUGCAAUGCAAAAAAAAAAAAAAGUAUAUUGUAUAUGUAAAAUGGCAUGUGCCCAGCAUCCAGGACUGGCCUUCAAGCCCUCCCUUGUACCCUUCCCACAGCCCUCCCAAGGGAAGCCGCCUGACCUCCAGCCCAGCUGGGCCUGCUUUGCUGAGGCGCCACCCUGCCCUGCCUGCCCUCUUCCGCUCUGUUGUCUUCGCGGUGUCACCCGUGCGGUGCCUGCGUCGCUGUGGAACCCUCCUCUGUGUGGGUUCACCCAUUUUAUUUCAUGCUUGCUGCUCUCAGUAGCGUACUGGGGAGUCUCCAGGCUUCUCUGAGGACAUAGUGUUGCUGGGAACAACGCCGUGAGGCUUUGGGGGCCCACACGUGCCCCUUCUAUGGGCACAAGUGCCCAGGUGGCAUGGCCGGGCAGUCUGCAUGUCUUCUAAUUCAGCAGAAGAGUGAAGUUUUCCCAAGGACAACGUGGUUCAUGUGCCCACCGGUCAUAGGUUCUGAAUCCCCGUGGACACUGGGCAUUUUCUGCUCUUUUUUGUGGGGUGGUGGUGGAGGGAGGUUGGAGACAGAGUCUUGCUACAUAACCCAGGCUGGCCUUGAACUCAAGCAAUCCUCCUGCCUCAGCCUCCUGAGUGCUGUGAUUACAGAUGUGUGCCACCUGCUCUUUUCCUACCAGUUCUCUGUGUACAGAGCUCUACCGGUCAAUCUGCAGCACUUUAGGGACUAAAGAAGCCAAGUGCUUUUCCAUGAGUUUUUUACCAGUUUGAUUCCCACUUUCGUCUGUUAAGCUCCCCGCCCCCGCUUUUUGCUUUUUUCAGAUUGAUUUGUGAGAAAUCUUUCACUAUUCUGAGCAGGUCUCUGCAGUGUGUGUUGUGACUACCUCUUCCCAUCUGUGGCUUUCCUUUUCUUUCACCUUGUUAAAUGUUUUAGGUUGGUCUAGUUUACCUCUUUUUUAUUUUUUGAGACAGGGUCUCACUGUGUAGUUGAGACUGACCUGGAACUCACUAUGUAGCCCAGGCUGGUAUCAAACUCACAGUGAUCCUCCUGCCUCAGCCUCCUGAGUGCUGGGAUUACAGGCGUGCACCACCACGCCCGGCUAGUUUCUCAUUCUUUAAGGCUGAGUAAUAUUCCAUUUAUAGAAAAACCACAUCAUCUUUAUCCAGUCUCCAACUGAUGGGCAAUUGGGCUGUUUCCCAGUUUUAGCUGUGACAAUCUGUGCCGCUGUAAUCAUGGGUGAGCAUAUAUCACUGUGGUAUGAUUCUUUUAAUUCUUUUGGAAAGUUACCCAGCGGAGGGAUGGCUGGGUCAAGUGGGAACUCUAAUUCUAGUUAGAGUUCUGUUGUUUUAAGUCACCAAGCUUCUGGUAAUUUUUUUUACAAAAGCCACAGGAAGCUAAAACCAGGGUCAGGUUACAGCUUUUUUCCUGGGACAUUCUCUCCAGCUGACCCAGCCCCCACUGCUGUCACCUUUGUCCCGAAUCAGGUGUGUGGGUGGCUGGAGUGCGGUUGUUUGGGGAGCGAUUCUCUUCUGUUCUUGGACUGAUUUCCCCGCUGUCUGAAUGACUUGGCUUUCCCGAGUUCACAGUAUCAGCACAGAAGCUUCUCUAGUUUUGUUCUUUGUUUUUGUACUUUAUAUAGAUAGCUUUUGUUUUGCAUUUCUGUAUAGCUUUUAGAAUCAGCUUAUUAAUUUGGGGGCAGAGGAAUUUUGAUUGGGAUUGUAUUAGAUCUGGAAUUUGAGAGUAACUGAUAUGUUUACACAUUGAGUUUUCUAGUCCAUUUGAUUUCACACAAUAACUUGCUUCAUUUAUUUGGUUUUUUGAGAUAGGAUCUCACUAUGUAGUCCAGGCGGGGCUUGAACUUGUGGUGUUCCUCCUGACUCAGCCUCCUGCGUGCUGGGAUUACAGAUGUGCACCACCAAGGCAAUAAUGUUUUAAAAAAAUAUAAAAAUUGAGAUGCAGUUUAUACACCACAAAAUUCGCCUGUUUUUUUUUUUUUUUUUUUUUUUUUUUGUGUGUGUGUGUGUGUGUGCGUGUGUGUACCUGAAUGUGUGCAUGGGGAUUGAACCCAAGGUCUCAAGCGUUCUAGCCAAGUGUUUUACCACCUAGCUACACCCCCUACCCUCUGUACUUAUUUUCAGACAGGGUUUCCCCAAAUUCCCCCAAUUGGCUUUAAACUCCCCAUCCUCCUGACUCAGCCUCCUUAGUAGCCGGAAAUACAGAUGUUUGCCAUAAUGUGUGGCUAAGCCUCAUUUCUUUCUAGGGCCGAAUAACAUAUUUAUUUACUUACCAGCUGAUAGACAUUAGGGCUGUUAAUGCUUUGGGGCAGUGCUGGAUAAUGCUGCUGUGAACGUAGCGGGCAAGUUUUCGUGUGGGCAUAGUGUCAGUCUCCUGGGGAUUUUGUACCUAGGAGUGGGAUUGCUGGGUCACAAGGUCUGUAUGUGAAUGUCCGGGGAGCUGCUAACCUGUUUUUAGAGGCGAGGUCACCUUGCAAAUUCCCUCCAGCAAUGUGGAAGGGUCCUGACUUACCCAGGGCUUGGCCAACAUUUUGUCUUUUUGAUUACUUCUCCAGUGGGUGAGAGCACUACAUCAUUGUGGGUUUGAUUGGCAUUUUCCUAAUGAAAAAUACAAUAUACAACAAUAUACAAUAAUAUUUUGCACAUUGUUUGAUUCAUUGCUAGGAAGUUGAUGCACUUAUAGCUUCAUUUGAAAAAUAAACUAUAUAAGGUAGGCCGGGCCCGAUCCACCGCGGGAAGGAGAACCACGCCUGCUCCCGACCCAGCCGCCAUCGCUCAAGCGCUGGGAAGGUAGCGCCCCUGAACCCCCAUAAGCCCCCCCCGCACUCUCAGACCUCUUGACUGUGCAAGUCUUUGGACCCACUCUGCAAAGACAGAGGUGGUCAUCAAGGGUAUUUUUCUGAGUUCCCAACUUUGAACAUCUUUAAAGAAAGGGCGUGGGAAACCUGUAAUAGAACGUUGCGGAGUGCAACCAUUCAGAAGGAUGGGGAACUCAAUCUGGGCCUUGCAGCCCGAGGUCAGUCAGUGUCAUGGGGUUCAGCAGUCAGCUAACUGAGAUCAGGGGUCUUGCAUCCUUGCUCUGUCUGAGCCAUUAAAUGGUAAAUAUUCUAUAUUGAAAAAUUUGUUCACUGCAGACAUGUUCUGGACUGCUUCUUG
rnacentral:lncRNA from 1 species